ACGCCGGCCGGGCCGGGCCCGAGGCCGCCCCGAGGUGGAGGCCGGGCCCGGGAAUGAGGCGCGCGGGGCCUGUUCUCCCGGAGAAGCCUCCUCUGGACUCCACCCGGGCCCCCAGACCCCUCUGAAGACCGAAGACGAGGAGGGCUCGGCGGGAUCGCUGCUCCUCCCCGCGACGCCCGUGCAGUAACACAUUAUUUCUUACUCAAAAGCCAUUCCUUCCGUUCCAUCCCCGGUGGGCUGCCCGGCGUCCCACGCGCGCAGCCGGUGGGCCUCGCCACGGCCCCCAAGCCCGGCAGAGUAGGAACUAUAACCGUCUCCAUUUUAGAAAUAGGUACUCAGUAAAGACUUAAAUCUCUUAAAGAGUUAAAGACUAGGGGAAAACAAGUGACUUGUCCAAGGUCACAUGACAAUAGAUGGACUACAGACCUGCCAGGCAAAGAGGAGCAUUUUAUGAAAAGCAGACAUCUCUCAUGUGAGAAGAAGGCUCAGGCACAGCAGGACAGAAGCUCCUAGCUUUCUCCAUUGCCAGAGAACUGGUCCUCCAGAGUCACCUCUUCUGGGUCCGAAACUGUCGGAAGAGCCACUGGACGACGAAGGGCCACAGAAGCAAGAAGAAC